UUCACGUGCUAGUCAGAACUAGGAACCUCGGAAAUGUCCGACUUGCUAACGGACUGUAGUUAUACUCGUGCAGUGUUUAACGAAUCAACAAGUAGGACAUUUCCAAGUAUCCCAAUUCCGACUGGUACAUGACUACGGCAUAAUCACGCUUUGUCAGUGAUCCCGCACGUCAUCAAUUUCCUAAUUGCCUCAGGGCAGUCUUUCAACUAAGGGAUUAGACCCGGAUACAGGUCGAGGUUCUUUAUAUUUGUCUUAAACUGUCUGCAAGCUUUUUUUGUCUGGGCAUUGCAAUGCAGUUGCCACAGUGACCUCUGACCUGUGGCUCUGAUGACAGUGGUGACCCUGACUGGUGACCCUGACUGGCGAGUGGGUGAUGUCAUAAUAGAGAGACUACUGCAGGGAUGCUGCAUGUGCAGGCUCAGAACAACAUCAAGAGCUCCAGACCACAGCUAAAACUGCUCAUACACAGCAGACGCUUUUAUCCAAAGCGACUUACAGUCAUGUGUGCAUACAUUCUACGUAUGGGUGGUCCCGGGAAUCGAACCCACUACCCUGGCGUUAGAAGCGCCAUGCUCUACCAACUGAGCUACAGAAGGACUCUGAGGUCUACCAGAGAAUCCAGGGCAGGAGAGAAACAACCACAGACCCUCGCCAGUCCAACACCUUCCACCUGAUACAGGAGGUGCUGGAGGAAGACUGUAGAAACGUCAAGAUCAAAGAGGGGCAUCACAGGACUGAAGAAGCCUUACCAAGACCCAGAUCCUUCUAUCAGAACUACAACACAGCAACCAUGGUUCGAACCUUAAGAGAAAUCUAACAUUCUACUACCACCACUACCAUCUCCCCACAGAAUAGACACAUUUUAUAAUGAUAACUCACAGGCUACUUGUUGUCGGACCAAACCCAGGACACAUGAUGUGCUUUACUUAUGCUUGAGAGGGGACAAACUUGUCAAAUGCCUUUACUGGUGUAUUAUAUUUGUGUGCAGUAGGGGGCAACCUCUACACAUUUGCUGCCUGAGUUAGUUUACUCAAAGUGUGUAUGUAAGAUCUUAUUAUGAUCAAACUACAUAAUUUAAUUAUGUGUAACCAUACUAUGCAUUUAUUGUAGAUAUUGGGCUGUUAUAUCACAUUGUUACGUAAGUGGUGAUAAGUUGAAAUAGAAUGUUAUUAUGUAAAUCAACAUUAAAGUGAGACAUUUGCAUGAGAUAUAUAAGUGUUAAGGGAAUUUUUAUCAAUGAUGACUAAUUAUGUAUACAUUUCAAUCAGGACUGACUAAUCAGAAUACUAUUAUGUUACCGUAUAUGUACUAAUCAGAAUACUAUUAUAUUACUGUAUAUGUAUGAAUUUUCUUUUUAAUCCUAGUACUGAAUAUAAUGUGUGUAAAUAUAAUCAAGAAUUAGAACAAUGACUGUCUGUACCAUGGUAGAAAUGAAUUAACUUAUAGUCAGUCUGGCUAGAAGGCUUAUCUACACAAGCAUGGCCUUGGCUCGGUCAGAUAUUAUCUUAAAUAGGGAGAGACAUGUGAGAACCAUACAGCCAUUGUACUACAGCGAAGAUGACAUGGGCUAGUACUGACACUAAUGACGUCAUUUUCAGUUUAUAACCUGUGGUAAAAUGUGUGAUGGGCAGUACUCUCGUGAAUAAAAGCUGCUGUUUGACUUUAA